rnacentral:rRNA from 1 species
CGGUGAUGAUGAAGGCCUUAGGUUGUAAAGCUCUUUUACCUGGGAAGAUAAUGACGGUACCAGGAGAAUAAGCCCCGGCUAACUUCGUGCCAGCAGCCGCGGUAAUACGAAGGGGGCUAGCGUUGUUCGGAAUCACUGGGCGUAAAGCGCACGUAGGCGGAUCUUUAAGUCAGAGGUGAAAGCCUGGAGCUCAACUCCAGAACUGCCUUUGAUACUGGGGAUCUCGAGUCCGGGAGAGGUGAGUGGAACUGCGAGUGUAGAGGUGAAAUUCGUAGAUAUUCGCAAGAACACCAGUGGCGAAGGCGGCUCACUGGCCUGUACUGACGCUCAUGCACGAAAGCGUGGGGAGCAAACAGGAUUAGAUACCCUGGUAGUCCACGCCCUAAACGAUGUCAACUGGUUGUUGGGUCUUCACUGACUCAGUAACGAAGCUAACGCGUGAAGUUGACCGCCUGGGGAGUACGGGCGCCAGGUUGAAACUCAGAGGAAUUGACGGGGACCCGCACAAGCG